rnacentral:tRNA from 1 species
GGGAAGAUGGCUCAGAGGUUAAGAGUACUGGUUGUUCUUCAGAGGACCUGGGUUCAAUUCCCAGUACCUA